rnacentral:sRNA from 1 species
AGCCUAGACAACACUGUGAAAGAACUUGCUGAACAACUGGAAUUUAUCAAAAACUCAGAUAUUCGGGGUGCCUUGGAUAGCAUUACCAAGUAUUUCCAGAUGUCUCUUGAGGCAGAGGAGAGAGUGAAUGCCUCCACCACAGAACCCAACAGCACUGUGGAGCAGUCAGCCCUCAUGAGAGACAGAGUAGAAGACGUGAUGAUGGAGCGAGAAUCCCAGUUCAAGGAAAAACAAGAGGAGCAGGCUCGCCUCCUUGAUGAACUGGCAGGCAAGCUACAAAGCCUAGACCUUUCAGCCGCUGCUGAAAUGCACCCUUGCUGAGGACCACCUACACAUUCUCUGGGGCCACCCAGGCCCUGCACAGCUGUUUUGCUGCAGCAGAUUCACUAUCCGAAGUAUUGUGCCUGAUCCUUGGCUUGUUGCAGACCUGUGGAACACCCCCAGGGGCCUCCUGUUCCGAGACUGAAUGUGGCGGGCCAAACUGCAGAACUGACGAAGGAGAGAAGAAGUGUGGGGGGCCUGGCUGUGGUGGUCUGGUUACUGUUGCACACAACGCCUGGCAGAAAGCCAUGGACUUGGACCAAGAUGUCCUGAGUGCCCUGGCUGAAGUGGAACAGCUCUCCAAGAUGGUCUCUGAAGCAAAACUGAGGGCAGAUGAGGCAAAACAGAGUGCUGAAGACAUUCUGUUGAAGACAAAUGCUACCAAAGAAAAAAUGGACAAGAGCAAUGAGGAGCUGAGAAAUCUAAUCAAGCAAAUCAGAAACUUUUUGACCCAGGAUAGUGCUGAUUUGGACAGCAUUGAAGCAGUUGCUAAUGAAGUAUUGAAAAUGGAGAUGCCUAGCACCCCACAGCAGUUACAGAACUUGACAGAAGAUAUACGUGAACGAGUUGAAAGCCUUUCUCAAGUAGAGGUUAUUCUUCAGCAUAGUGCUGCUGACAUUGCCA